AAUGUGAGAUUCAUUUAUUUAGCUCUUGAUAUGGUGAAUGGGAUGUCACCAGCAUUUUUUAUAAAAGACCCCUAAUAGCUAUAAUUUGGUCAAUGUAAAACUGUGUUAGGUUGAUUUAUGUGUAAAGAAGCAAAUGGUCAUUUAGCACUUUCCAAAAAAUUUGG